rnacentral:tRNA from 1 species
GUGCCUGUAGCUCAGCGGAUAGAGUAGUGGCCUACGAAGCCAUUGGUCGCAGGUUCGAAUCCUGCCUGGCACGCCA